rnacentral:lncRNA from 1 species
CGAUGUAGAAGCUGAUACGAGAAUUUGAAUUUGUUAAGAGUUUUUGAGACGUAAUUGACAUUGUUAAACCGGUUUGGCUGCUUUCAGAUUGUUAGGGUUUUGGCUGACUGGACUGAGAAAGACAUGGUUAGGAUUUUGGAUGUAGAGCUGUACAGACAUACGGACGAUGUCUUCGAUGGUCCUGCGCAUGGGGCGCCACCCGCGCACGUUAGCUUUUGCAGAUUGUGGCGAAAGAACGAUGCGCCGCGACCACCACGGGUGUGCUUGGCUAGCUUUAAUGCCCGAUUCAUAUUGGCUCAUCAGGUCAGGCCUAGGCCCACGAGUUCUUCAUUCAUUGGGCCGCGCUUGCCCGGUCCGUACCCAGUGCUGCUGCCAAAAAAUCAACUGGGCCAACCCGGUUCAAUAAUUAUAUUAAUCCAGCUUGGGUUAAUGUCUUCAAAUCAUAUAUAUAAAUGCAAGGUUCUCAAAAAGGUAGAUACGUAAAUGAAUUGAACCAUUGAAUUCAGCUUGAGAUUGGC